rnacentral:rRNA from 1 species
CCCAGACCGCCAGCUAAGGUCCCAAAGUCAUGGUUAAGUGGGAAACGAUGUGGGAAGGCCCAGACAGCCAGGAUGUUGGCUUAGAAGCAGCCAUCAUUUAAAGAAAGCGUAAUAGCUCACUGGUCGAGUCGGCCUGCGCGGAAGAUGUAACGGGGCUAAACCAUGCACCGAAGCUGCGGCAGCGACNACUAUGUGUUGUUGGGUAGGGGAGCGUUCUGUAAGCCUGUGAAGGUGUACUGUGAGGUAUGCUGGAGGUAUCAGAAGUGCGAAUGCUGACAUAAGUAACGAUAAAGCGGGUGAAAAGCCCGCUCGCCGGAAGACCAAGGGUUCCUGUCCAACGUUAAUCGGGGCAGGGUGAGUCGACCCCUAAGGCGAGGCCGAAAGGCGUAGUCGAUGGGAAACAGGUUAAUAUUCCUGUACUUGGUGUUACUGCGAAGGGGGGACGGAGAAGGCUAUGUUGGCCGGGCGACGGUUGUCCCGGUUUAAGCGUGUAGGCUGGUUUUCCAGGCAAAUCCGGAAAACUAAGGCUGAGGCGUGAUGACGAGGCACUACGGUGCUGAAGCAACAAAUGCCCUGCUUCCAGGAAAAGCCUCUAAGCAUCAGGUAACAUCAAAUCGUACCCCAAACCGACACAGGUGGUCAGGUAGAGAAUACCAAGGCGCUUGAGAGAACUCGGGUGAAGGAACUAGGCAAAAUGGUGCCGUAACUUCGGGAGAAGGCACGCUGAUAUGUAGGUGAAGCGACUUGCUCGUGGAGCUGAAAUCAGUCGAAGAUACCAGCUGGCUGCAACUGUUUAUUAAAAACACAGCACUGUGCAAACACGAAAGUGGACGUAUACGGUGUGACGCCUGCCCGGUGCCGGAAGGUUAAUUGAUGGGGUCAGCGCAAGCGAAGCUCUUGAUCGAAGCCCCGGUAAACGGCGGCCGUAACUAUAACGGUCCUAAGGUAGCGAAAUUCCUUGUCGGGUAAGUUCCGACCUGCACGAAUGGCGUAAUGAUGGCCAGGCUGUCUCCACCCGAGACUCAGUGAAAUUGAACUCGCUGUGAAGAUGCAGUGUACCCGCGGCAAGACGGAAAGACCCCGUGAACCUUUACUAUAGCUUGACACUGAACAUUGAGCCUUGAUGUGUAGGAUAGGUGGGAGGCUUGG